AGAGUUUGAUCCUGGCUCAGAAUCAACGCUGGCGGCGUGCCUCAGACAUGCAAGUCGAACGAUUAAAGCUCUCUUCGGAGAGUGCAUAGAGUGGCGCACGGGUGAGUAACACGUAAGUAAUCUACCUUCGAGUGGGGAAUAACAGUCGGAAACGACUGCUAAUACCGCAUAAUGCAGCGGCAUCGCGAGAUGACAGUUGUUAAAGAUUUAUCGCUUGAAGAGGAGCUUGCGGCAGAUUAGCUAGUUGGUAAGGUAAUGGCUUACCAAGGCUACGAUCUGUAACCGGUCUAAGAGGACGGUCGGUCACACUGACACUGAAUAACGGGUCAGACUCCUACGGGAGGCAGCAGUCGGGAAUUUUGGGCAAUGGGCGAAAGCCUGACCCAGCAACGCCGCGUGAAGGAUGAAGUAUUUCGGUAUGUAAACUUCGAAAGAAUAGGAAGAAUAAAUGACGGUACUAUUUAUAAGGUCCGGCUAACUACGUGCCAGCCGCCGCGGUAAUUC
rnacentral:rRNA from 1 species